rnacentral:lncRNA from 1 species
UGCCCAGUGCUAGGACACACCCUGGAGGCAAAGUCUAAACAAGAUUAUGACCAAGGGAGGGGCUCCUGGUGACUGAGUCAGUGAAACAUCUGGCUCUGGAUCUCAGCCCAGGUCUUGAUCUCAGGGAUGUGAGUUAAGCCCCAUGAUGGGUUCCAAGUUGGACGUGGCAUGCACUUAAAGAAGAAAAGAAAAGACUAUUAGAAAAUGCACUUACAUAGAGGACCUAGGUGGGGUGCUCCACUGUAUGCAGACAUCCCCAAAGGUAUUGGGAGCUUGGGGGAAGGCAGAGAAAUGUGAGAUGGGGAGCCACCCUGCAGAGGGUAGGGAGAGGGUAUUUACCAUAGGAGGGUGACACAGGUUGUACCAUGAACAGAGGAGUAUUUGACCAGAAGAAGAGAAGGAGAGAGGGCAUUUGGUGCUGUGAGAAAGGCCAGUUUACCAUCAUUAUCAUUGGGGCAACUCUUACCCUCCAGAGGCAAAUCCCCCUCCUGGAUAAGCCCAGACGGAAGGGCUGGCUGUGCUGUCCCAGUCAGCAGGCUCUUCUGUCCAGGUUUGUCCUGACGUACUUCAUUCACAUCAUCAUCACCAGGACCAAAAUGACCCAGAGCCUAUGACAAGUGGCAGCCGGGACUAAGCCCUGGGCUGUAUGUGACUGGGGAAAAUAAAAGAAGACAAAGUAUUUGAGGGGAAGAAGGGUAUGUACAAAUAAGACCCUCUGGUUCUAUAUAUGUGCCACUGUGGUUCCAGAAUUCUGUAGAGAAAGGGCCUUCAGAUGGCAACCUUACUGGGAG